rnacentral:pre_miRNA from 1 species
GUAGUAUUCCCUCCGUCCCAAAAUUCUUGUCUUACAUUUGUUUAGAUAUGGAUGUAUCUAACACUAAAAUGUAACUAGAUACAUCCGUAUUUAGACAAAUUUAAGAAAAGAAUUUUGGGACGGAGGGAGUACAAA